rnacentral:rRNA from 1 species
CCUACGGGCGGCUGCAGUCGAGGAUCUUCGGCAAUGGGCGCAAGCCUGACCGAGCGACGCCGCGUGCGGGAUGAAGGCCUUCGGGUUGUAAACCGCUGUCAGGGGGGAUGAAAUCAUGGUGGGUACUCCCAUCAUGUUGACAGAGCCCCAGAGGAAGCGCGGGCUAAGUUCGUGCCAGCAGCCGCGGUAAUACGAACUGCGCGAACGUUAUUCGGACACACUGGGUUGACAGCAUCGGUAGGUGGGUGCGAAAUGCCUUGGCUCAACCAAGGCACAGCGCUCUAAACUACUUUGCUUGAGUGAGUCAGGGGUGCACGGAACUUCCGGUGGAGCGGUGAAAUGUGUUGAUAUCGGAAGGAACACCGGCGGCGAAAGCGGUGCACUGGGGCUUAACUGACACUGAGGCACGAAAGCCAGGGGAGCGAACGGGAUUAGAUACCCUAGUAGUC